rnacentral:misc_RNA from 1 species
GAUGAAGAACGCAGCGAAAUGCGAUAAGUAAUGUGAAUUGCAGAUUUCCAGUGAAUCAUCGAAUCUUUGAACGCACAUUGCGCCCCUUGGUAUUCCGAGGGGCAUGCCUGUUCGAGCGUCAUUAUAACCCCUCAAGCUCAGCUUGGUGUUGGGGCCUGCUGCACUGGCAGCCCUUAAAAUCAGUGGCGGCGCCAUCUGGCUCUAAGCGUAGUAAUUCUUCUCGCUAUGGAGUCCUGGUGGAUGCUUGCCAUCAACCCCCAAUUUUUCUAUGGUUGACCUCGGAUCAGGUAGGGAUACCCGCUGAACUUAAGCAUAUCAAUAAGCGGGGA